CUGGGAAACGCCAUGGCUGACUGACCUUACAGAACGGCAAAAGGGUUCCUCUAUUCCUAUGGGCCUUUCCCCAUCCAUUCUAAAUGAGGUGAGUAUUUCAUGACUGGCCGGGAAGACAAAAGAGCAAAUAUGCCGGUCAUUCAUUCAACCUGCUCUUUAGGAGAGGGGACCCCAGCAGAUGUAUCUUGGGUUUCUGCUGAAUAAUCAGGAAAGGCAAUAGGAGGUUAUCUCUGGAAACUUUUAUCACUUCUUUUAGGCGGCUCAGGUUCACGGGCCGAAGAUGUGAGAAAAGAACUCUGGAGACAGAAAGCAAUUAGCAACUGAUAGACCAAGAUCGCUGGUCAUAUUGUGGCACACCAUUGCUAAUGCUAUUUUGCUGAGGGUGGAGGUGAGGUUCAGUGCCAAAUUUACGUAUAAGCUAAACAAGCUAUAGCUGAGGGCAUGGGUAGGCAACCUAAGGCCCGGGGGCCAGAUCUGGCCCAAUCGCCUUCUAAAUCCGGCCCACGGACGGUCCAGGAAUCAGGGUGUUUUUACAUGAGUAGAAUGUGUCCUUUUAUUUAAAAUGCAUCUCUGGGUUAUGUGUGGGGCAUAGGAAUUUGUUCUUUCUUUUUUUCCUUUUCAAAAUAUAAUCCGGCCCCCCACAAGGUCUGAGGGACAGUGGACCGGCCCCCUGCUGAAAAGGUUUGCUGACCCCUGGCUUAGGGCCUCACUCUCUUGGGGGGUCCCCAAAAAAAUUAAAGGGGAAAGAAACCUGGAUGUACAUUUCCAAAAUAUAAGAUAAAAAACAAAUAAAAUAAAACCUACAUACAGUAACAGUGUUUCAUGGCUCCUAUGAUGUACGUAAAGGGCCCCGCCUGCUAGCCUUCUCCCUAAAAUAUCACUGCUUUGCUCAUUUCUAUAUAUAGGGUACCUACAUUUUGCAUGAACUUUGCAUUCUGCAUAGACUUUUCAACAAUUGCUUUGAUAAAAUACAUAUUCCAUUAUGUGCAAAUGGCUUUAGAUACCUAUUAGGUCCAUACAUUAUCAUAUAGCAUAUAUUCAACACAAAAAAUAGCAACAAUUUGUUGUUGACAAAGGACAGCUGGACAUAGAAAGGGCCCCAUUACCUUCAGUAGCUUAAGGCCUCAUCAAACCUAAAUCUGGCCCUGGUGAGCUUAGUUAGCAAGGAAGCAAUUCUAUGGCUCCAAGACAGCGAGCUGAAGGCCAGACUGGAUCCUAUAGACCUCCCUCUCCCUGGUGCUUCCACCUUCCCAACAGUGGAUCAUGUACCGCAAUGGUGGGGGCACAACAGUAGUGAGAUUGGAGUUGUGUGGGUGCACAGGCAAAGUCAAUCCUAUGCUUCUACCAUUGCACUCACAAAGCCCUGGCACUGACAUCCUGGUAAGCUGCAGGAACCUCACUGUCAGGAGAGCAGGUGGCGCUGUGGUCUAAACCACUGAGCCUCUUGGGCUUGCCAAUCAGAAGGUCGGCGGUUCGAAUCCCCAUGAUGGAGUGAACUCCCAUUGCUCUGUCUCAGCUUCUGCCGACCUAGAAGUUUGAAAGCACGCCAGUGCAAGUAGAUAAAUAGGUACCGCUGUGGCGGGACAGCAAAUGGCGUUUCUGUGUGCACUGGUUUCCGUCACGGUGUUCUGUUGCACCAGAAGCGGUUUAGUCCUGCUGGCCACAUGACCCAGAAAAGUGAGAUGAGUGCCGUACCCCAUAGUCGCCUUUGACUGGACUUAACUGUCCAGGGGUCCUUUACCUUUACCUUACCUAGUACAGCAUCACCCUACCCCCUGCAUGGACCUUUCCUACUUCAAAGCUUUGAUGUGUGAGGCACUGCAGAAUUCCACCUUGUGCCCCAUCCUUUUUAACACCUACCUGUCACAGACUGGUUGGAUGCAGAGGAAAAGUGGCAGGUACCAGCCGGGGAACCACCAAGGGAAGAAGGCUCUGAGACUGGGAAGAGGAGGUGGGAUGACAGUGAGUGGUCAGAGGGAGAAGACUGGGGAGAGGUGGUGUUGGAAGCUGAAGAGGUAACAGGGCUUAGUGAGCAGAGAGAGUCUGUGGCAGAGAGAAGUCCGGAAUCAGAGCCAGAAGCUGAAACAGGAAAGUGCAAGGAGGGUGGCCAAGAAGCAGAGAUGAGUCUGGCUGGUGAAGAGUCACAGGUGUCUCCCCUUCCUUCUGAGACAAGCUCCCCUCCUCGCUUGUCUCCCAGAACCAGUAGAGGGCUGAAACGGGCAGAGGAAAGGUUGGCUGCAUCCAGAAGCAGUCUCUGAUUGCUUGGGGAAAUCCCUGGAGAGGCGAGGACCUAGAUGGCAGGGACUUUCAGUUUCGGCAACUGGAGUAAGACCACUGGGAAUAAGCUGCUCUGCUUAUUAGGCCUGACACUCAACCAAGUCUGUGGAAAUCGUGGUUUUGCUAAUAUAGAGUUAACUCCAACUUUUAACUGUGUGAUUACUGACUGACAUGCUCCUGUGACCCUACCUGAUGCUUUUUGGAGAGAUCAUCUGGAAAUUUGGAGUGAGGUGUCUAUCAUCAAUGUACCUAUCAUUUACAUCCAUAGUCUAGCUCAGGGGUCAGCAAACUUUUUCAGCAGGGGCUGGUCCACUGUCCCUCAGACCUUGUGUGGGGCCAGACUAUCUUUUGAAAAAAUAAAUAAAUGAAUGAAUUCCUAUGCCCCACAAAUAACCCAGAGAUGCAUUUUAAAUAAAAGCACACAUUCUACAUGUGUAAAAACACCAGGCAGGCCCCACAAAUAACCCAGAGAUACAUUUUAAAUAAAAGGACACAUUCUACUCAUGUAAAAACAUGCUGAUUCGCGGACCGUCUGUGGGCCGGAUUUAGAAGGUGAUUGGGCUGGAUCCGGCCCCUGGGCCUUAGUUUGCCUACCCAUGGUCUAGCCUUUCAUUGGUGUCAGUUAUUACAGAGCCCUAGGAACCUACUCACUUCUAAACUGUCUCCACCAAAUGAAUAAUAUAUAAAUGUUUCGUGUGCAUUCCCCGCCCCCAGAUGCUUGAAGACCUGAGGUGUGAAAAGCAUCCAGACUGUACGGCUAAAUAGGCACUUGCAAUUAAAGAGUGUGUAUGGAAAUCAGAGUGAGAAAUUCAGAACCAAAAAAGAAAGUGGAUUCGUACAGGCUGAUGAGAGGUUUGCUGUGAUUGUUUUCUCCCCUUGAGAGAUUUCAACUGGUGCAAGGUUACAUCCACUUAAGAGGCAGUGAUCCGCUAUUCAUAUCAAUGUCAGUUUUGAAGAACUCUCUGAGCAAGAGCAAGCAUUGACUGACAUGCCACAGAUUAAUUUGACUUCUGUGUUGAUCUGGCAAAGACAGCUCUUCUCUUUCCCCCUCUGAUAUGCCAAUGUCUUUCAUCACAAGUCCUGUCACAAUGCAGAAAUCCUGACAGAAAACACAUUCCUCCCCCCCCCCCGACAUCUUUAUUGAAAGUUUAAAAAUUCAUAAUUUUAAUUGAAAUUGUUCUGUGUCCGGAAUGGUUUGUGUUUUGCUUUGUUAGUUUUAUGUUUUUCUUUUUUUCCCUUUUUUUGUCUUUCUGUGUUGUUGUGUUUAAAUGGUUGAAAAUUAAUAAAUAUUAUUUUUUUAAAAAAAUAAAAAUUCAUAAUUUUAUGUGCAGUAAACAUGGUGAGACAUAAAUAAAAGAGAGAAAAAGAAAAAGAGAAACAGCACUCAUGUAGAAGGGAAAGUAAAGGGGACAGAAUCCAAAACUGUAUACUUCACAAAGUUGUUAUUGUACUUCACAGAAAACGUAUUCCUAAUGGUUACUUUGCUUCUCAAAUAAGGUGGUCUAGCCCCUCAUUGAAGGGAUCUUUAGAAACUUGGCCCUCCAGAUGUUUUGGGACUACAACUCCCACCAUCCCUAGCUAACAGGACCAGUGGUCAGGGGUGAAGGGAAUUGUAGCCCCAAAACAUCUGGAGAGCCAAGUUUGGCCAUGCCUGCUAGACAAACCUUAGCUGUCAUAUCUAAUGUAACUGGCUUAGCUCUAAGAGGGUAAACUUUGCCUGCGCAGUGUCACGUGUCUCUGAAUGUUGUUUUUUUCUAGUUUUAUCAAUGGGCUAAGGAUGUUUUAUCAACGAGGAAGCAUUUCAUUCAGUGCCUUCUAGAGAAACCUCCAGACUGGUCUUUAUUGUGGGAUGCUGGUUCCUUACGCACGCACGUUUUUUGCAGCAUCAAUGUGAUGUUGUCAGCAUCAAAAUGGCAUCCUGUUCCCCACCCCACCCCACCCCCAUUUUAUCCUGAUUUAUCCUUUCUAGGGAAAUCUGAUAAAUUGUCAGCUGGCCCAUUUGUGAUAUCUCAAUAACCUUUCUGCAAAUUAAGCCCUCCACCUCACUCCUGCCCGUACCUUUCAAUCUAGAAGCACACUAGGAUUAUUGUCCUCAAUCAUAUCACCACAAUGCUCCCACCUAGGAUAUGAAAGAAAAGAUUUUAUAUUAAACAGGAGGGUCUAACUACAGCUGGAAAUUGCUAAUAGAAACAUGUAUUUGGUACUGCAAUCGAUCUGUUGCUAGAACUGAAUUUUAAAUGUGUUCGAAAUACAACUUCCUCCUUCCUUCCUCGCUUUCCUCUGCAGUGGUGUUUGGAAGGAGGAAGGCUUUUUUCCUUUUUUUUUUCAAGGCAGGGAAAUUAACAGUGUGCCAGGGCACUGGGCACAAGGUGACCAGGGGAAGGUGGCAUUUCCUGGGCAAUUCUGUCAUGCCGCUCAGGAAAACUCGGCAGACUACCAGCUUCAUUCUGCAGACCAGUGCAUAUUUCCUGCCAAAUAUAGGACGGUCAUUCACAGAGGAUUCAUAGGAUAUCCAUCUUUUGUCUUUAAAAGAAUAUAUGGUUUACUAAACACUGGAAAAACCCCGUUCCUUUGCUGUGAACUUUAACAUGUUUUUUCCCCUUCUAUCAUAUCCUGAGCCCAGCCAGUAAUUAAAAAAUCAGAUGAGGGUAAAGGAAAGCCAAGCAAAGAGUUAUAUUAAGACAGGCUUCCUCAACCUCGGCCCUCCAGAUGUUUUUGGCCUACAACUCCCAUGAUCCCUAGCUAGCAGGACCAGUGGUCAGGGAUGCUGGGAAUUGUAGUCUCAAAACAUUUGGAGGGCUGAGAUUGAGGAAGACAACAAUUUGAGCCAAAGGAAUUGCUCCCAUUACAUCUUGGGGCACGGCCCAGCUUUUCAUAUGGACAAAAAACAUCUCUUGAUGCCCUCCGUUAUUUGUACACUCCCCUCCAGACCGUGUCAGAUGGCCGCCCAAGGCUACAGAGGCCAGCUGGAGAAAAGUGUGAGGAACAACAAGGUGUUGAAGGAGAUCUGUUUGUGUUUGUUCUCCAGCACAGUGGGGAAGAGCACUGUGGCACUGCUUAAUUGUUGGUCUGAACAUCCCUGACUGGUCCCAAGACACUAUCUAUACUCCAAAUGGUGGUUCGCAUCGUCCAACUGGGCACAUUUAUAGACCUUGUGUGCCUAUUUUCCAGGGACAGCCCCCGAUUUACAGAAACUGUCCCGGUUUCUGAUUUGAUCCAAGAACAUCCCGCUUUUCCACAGGACGUCCCUGACACGAGUCAGCUCCUCCUGAAAUUUACCUCAGGAAAUGGGAAACAUCACUAAGCAUUCCGCUUGAGUCCCAUAAAGAAAGCUUCUCAGCUUCUCAGCUUUACCCAGCCUGCUUACCACCACCACCCCCGAAUACCUGGCACAGGCAUGGCAUUUCCAUCAGAGAAAAGUUGGCGCGUAUGGAGUUAUGCAACUCCCGAGUCAAGGAGAUAAGUAACUGUACAACCUUUAGAAGACCUGUGAAGGCAACCCUGUAUAAGGAUUUUUUUUAAUGUUUAAUGUUUUAUUAUGUUUGAAGCCACCCAGAGUGUCUGAGGCAACCCGGUCAGAUGGGGGGGGGGGAUAAAUAAUAAAAUUGUUAUUGUUGUUGUUAUUGUUAUUGCCAUCAUCACUAUUAUGGAAUAGGACGUCCCUAUUUUCAUUGGAGAAAUGUUGGAGUGUGUGCAUUUAUCUCAAUAAACCUAAACCCUGAAAUUAGCUCAGCCCUCACAAUCUCAUAAAUGUCAGGAAUUAAUCCCUGCCUCCUCCCUGCACUGCAUUCUAGAGAUUCUUUUCCUUAUCAGGUCUAGAAAUGAGAAACCUAACAUUAGAUGCCACGGAGAACUCCUCUCAUCUCUUCUCAAGGGUCAGGGCUGAGCAUUACAUACAACCUUUGGACAAAAAUGCAUGGCAAGGACAGGAGAGCAAAAUUGUGCUGACUAUAUUGGCUAUUGAUGUUUUUUUUCUCUGAGGAAUUGUUAGCCCUUUGGCCUUGCGUCAUCAUUUCUCUCAGGGCUGCUGAAAUGAAAAGUCUGCUUUGUUUGGUAAUGGCUAUGACUGUUAGCCAUCGACUCCAAAAGCAACCUUCUUCCACGAUGCAUUUGCUGUGCCAAUUAAAUAGCUGGAAUAUAACUCCUUUUGGUGCAACCCAAACGCCACUUUCUGGGGUAACAAAAAAAAUAUAUUGCUGACAGAUGGCUCGUGUUGCUUUGUGAUAUUUUACCUUCACUGCUUUGUGAUAUUUUACUGGAGUUUAUUUCUUCCUGGGUCAAAAGGGUUGGCGAAAAGGCUGGACCACAACUUGCCAAAUUUCUUUCGAAAUAAUGAGGAUGAUGGAAAACGAGCGAGGUCCCAACUAAAGAAGAAUGGCAACUUAAACUGAUGGAAUACGCACAGCUGGCAGACUUAAUUUACAGAAUAAGAGAACAAGAAGAAUGUACGUUUAAAGGAGAGUGGAAAACGUUUAAUGAAUAUAUGGGUGAAAAUUGUGUACGUUUGAAAACGUUGGCAGCAUUAGGACAAAUUCACCAGUGUAAAUAAGUUUUGAUGGAUGUAAAAAUGGAAUACGGAAUGGCUGAGUUUAUGUAAAAUAUGCAGGGAUCUAUGGCAUGCAAAUUGAACCAUGGAAGGAGAAGAAGG